rnacentral:rRNA from 1 species
UGGGGAAUAUUGGACAAUGGGGGGAACCCUGAUCCAGCCAUGCCGCGUGUGUGAAGAAGGCCUUAUGGUUGUAAAGCACUUUAAGCGAGGAGGAGGGUACUGGUAUUAAUACUACCAGCUACUGGACGUUACUCGCAGAAUAAGCACCGGCUAACUCUGUGCCAGCAGCCGCGGUAAUACAGAGGGUGCGAGCGUUAAUCGGAUUUACUGGGCGUAAAGCGCGCGUAGGCGGCUAAUUAAGUCAAAUGUGAAAUCCCCGAGCUUAACUUGGGAAUUGCAUUCGAUACUGGUUAGCUAGAGUGUGGGAGAGGAUGGUAGAAUUCCAGGUGUAGCGGUGAAAUGCGUAGAGAUCUGGAGGAAUACCGAUGGCGAAGGCAGCCAUCUGGCCUAACACUGACGCUGAGGUGCGAAAGCAUGGGGAGCAAACAGG